AGGACGAACGCUGGCGGCGUGCUUAACACAUGCAAGUCGAACGGUAAGGCCCCUUCGGGGGUACACGAGUGGCGAACGGGUGAGUAACACGUGGGUAAUCUGCCCUGCACUUCGGGAUAAGCCUGGGAAACUGGGUCUAAUACCGGAUAUGAACUCCUGCCGCAUGGUGGGGGUUGGAAAGUUUUUCGGUGCAGGAUGAGCCCGCGGCCUAUCAGCUUGUUGGUGGGGUAAUGGCCUACCAAGGCGACGACGGGUAGCCGGCCUGAGAGGGUGAGUCGGCCACACUGGGACUGAGACACGGCCCAGACUCCUACGGGAGGCAGCAGUGGGAAUUUGGACAAUGGGCGAAAGCCUGAUCCAGCAAUGCCGCGUGCAGGAAGAAGGCCUUCGGUUGUAAACUGUCUUUGUAACGGUAACGAAAGGUACUCUUACUAAUAAAGA
rnacentral:rRNA from 1 species